rnacentral:rRNA from 1 species
AGCUCCAAUAGCGUAUAUUAAAGUUGUUGCAGUUAAAAAGCUCGUAGUUGGAUUUCGGAGCCGACCGGGCGGUCUGUCGAGAGACACGCACUGCACGGUGGCUCUUCCUCUCGGAGGCCCUGGCUGCCCUUAACUGGAGCGGGCAGGGGAUUCGGGACGUUUACUUUGAAAAAAUUAGAGUGUUCAAAGCAGGCCGGUGCUUGGAUACAUUAGCAUGGAAUAAUGGAAUAGGACUACGGUCCCUAUUUCGUUGGUUUGACGGACCGAAGUAAUGAUUAAGAGGGACAAUUGGGGGCAUCCGUAUUUCGUAGUCAGAGGUGAAAUUCUUGGACCUACGAAAGACGAACAACUGCGAAAGCAUUUGCCAAGAGUGUUUUCAUUAAUCAAGAACGAAAGUAGG